rnacentral:rRNA from 1 species
CCUACGGGGAGCAGCAGUGAGGAAUAUUGGUCAAUGGACGAGAGUCUGAACCAGCCAAGUAGCGUGAAGGAUGACUGCCCUAUGGGUUGUAAACUUCUUUUAUAAAGGAAUAAAACGAGGCACGUGUGCCUUUUUGCAUGUACUUUAUGAAUAAGGAUCGGCUAACUCCGUGCCAGCAGCCGCGGUAAUACGGAGGAUCCGAGCGUUAUCCGGAUUUAUUGGGUUUAAAGGGUGCGUAGAUGGGUUGUUAAGUCAGUUGUGAAAGUUUGCGGCUCAACCGUAAAAUUGCAAUUGAUACUGGCAGUCGUGAGUACAGUUGAGGUAGGCGGAAUUCGUGGUGUAGCGGUGAAAUGCUUAGAUAUCACGAAGAACCCCGAUUGCGAAGGCAGCUUACUAAACUGUGACUGACAUUGAUGCUCGAAAGUGUGGGUAUCAAACAGGAUUAGAUACCCGUGUAGUC